CCCCAGUCCCCAAGGUCAUGGGAAAAACUGACCCCGAAGUGCUGCAAGGGCA
rfam:Mosquito flavivirus gene for polyprotein, complete cds, strain: YDFV/Oct/2013